GGCAGGGUAAGGUAGGGCAAGGCACGGCGCAUGCGCAGGGUCGGCCCUGCGGCCGCUACCGAGGUAUUGUUGAUGAGUGUGCUAAAAAGGCGACAAUUGAAUAAAUAAGUUGUGGCCUCCAGGGGUGGUAGGUGUGCUGGGAUAAGUCCAAAGAUAAGAACAGGAUAAAAUGCGUGCAACGUGAAGGAUCAAGAGUUCCAAAGAUAGGAGCUGAAUCAAGAUUUGAUCCUUUCCUCUGGAGGACAACUGUCAUAAGUGAGCUCCUAGCAUUGAGCAGGUACUGAAACAAUGGCCUCGUGCACACAAACACGCUGUUGAAGGUUCCAUCUUGGAGGGGGAAGGGGCAAGUUGAGGGCUUGCUCAGCUGAGAGCUUCUUGCUUGAGGGCUUGCUCUCAGGGGUUGUCACAGCUUAAUGCUCUGGCCGCUCAUAGAGACUUAAUGGAUGAGAAACAGACUAAGCGCAGGGGCCCAGGUGAAGCAGGGCUGCAAGUGGACUGGCAGUGGAAGGUUUGGGCUGCAAAAAGAAUCCUUCCCUCAGGCCUUUUACACCUUGGCCAUGGCUUGGGAUCCUUGCAUAAGGGUUUUAUGAGAGACAAACCAUAGUGGCGUACAUGGAGCAAAGCUGCAAAGGUAGUGCUAAAGGCAAGUUUAGCCACAAAGAAAUUUUCUUAAUAGUUUUCUAUUUUAGCCAUUUUAGUUGGUUUUAUUUAUUUGACAUCCUAGAGUAAGGCUCAGCACAUGGCUUGGGUUAAGGCUAGAGUUUGAGUUCAGAGGGAGACAAAGCCUGGGGGUCUGUGUGGAGUGGGGCUGCAGAGAAGUUGCCAAGGGAAGGUUUGGGCUGCAGAAAGUGGGUUCUGGGCAGUUUUAGGGUCAGAAGAGAGACAGUUCCUCAGUGUCUAGUUGUGGUGGGUGUGCAAAGGGGCUCCCUAGGGACAGCUUGCUCUGCAGAAGAAUUACUGUCAAAGACUUCCAUCAGGGCCAUGUUUGGGUUUACCUGGAGUUAAUGCCCUGGGUACAUUUAAGGUGAGAACAGUUCCUAGGGUUCUAGCUGGACUGGGACUGCUGAGGAAAGGUGUGGGCUGCAAAAGGAAUUCUCUGGGGACUUUUUAUGUGAGUCAUGUUUGGGGCUCUCUGGUGUUAAAGGUCUAUGCACUUCUAGCACUAAGGUUCUAAGAGAGACAAAGCCUAGGGAUCUAGGUGAAGUGGGGCUGCAGACAGGCUGCUGAGGGAAGGUGUGGGCUGCCAAGGCAGUUCUCUCCUAAAAACUUUCUAAUCUGUGCCACGGUUUGGGUUUUCUGGGCUUAAGGGCUACCUGGCCACUUUAAGGGUUAAGAUUAGAAGAAACAUAAAGCUGAAGGGUCCUGUUGUGGUGGGGCUGCAAAAGGGCUACCAAGGGCAGGUUUGUGCAUCACAAAGAAUUCUCCCAUGAGAGCUUUUCCAUCUUGACUGUGGCUUGGGGUCUUUGGCUAAGGUCAGCCCACAGUUGAGAUUAGGGCCAGGGUAAGGGAUGGGGUUUAUAAUUGUUACAAGGUCCUGCUGUGAGCUGUUUCAGAGGGUGUUGAUAAGGAUUUGAGAUGGGAAGAAUUGGGAUGAAGGAAGAGUUUUUCCGUGUGAAGGAAUUCAGUCCCAAGAGAUCUUAAAUGGGACAUGUUCCUUCUUGCCUUCAGUUAAUCUGGCGUUUUCCAGGCCAGAUAGUUUUUCAGCCGGUGUCAUGGUGGAAAUAAAACAGGCCUCCAAAGGGAAGCUGCCAGCACCUUAUCUAUGAAGAGGCUACCACAUAUCCAUAAUACAUUACACCAGCUUGAGGCAAGUUUGGCCUUUGUUGUGAGCUAUGUAUUAGUACAGUUUCUUCUGAAUAAUUUAUAACAUUGCUGUGCAAACUGGGUUAGUACUAGGAGUGCUAGAAAUGUCAGGUUUCAAAAUAAUCCUUCUAUUGGUAAAAGUAUUCAGUGUGAAAUACUAUAUUAAAGAAACACUGAAUCUGGGCUUUUGAAACCACAAAAGGCAGGAAAUGCAGAGUUAAGGUUGCCAUGGAAACCUUAACUCUACACCUUUAGGUAGGUAGUAUGCUAUGGUUUUAAUUACUUCCUCUUUAUACGACUCUAUACAGAGUUCUUUUAUGUAAAUUAUAAUUGCACUGAAUGCUAUUUAUAAUACAUAUUAAGUGUACUGGCUACUCAGCAAACAUCAGAAAUCAGGUGUCACCUUUGGCUGUCUGUACCUUGCACUGUAAUAUUGACUGUAUGAUGUGUAUCUAGAAAAUAUUAUUAUGGCUAACUUAUUGGGCAAGGUAUUAAAAAGUGCUUUUUCUGAGUUAGAAUUGCACAGUAUGGCCAUCACAUUACAGAAUAUCAUCACAAGGAGAGCAGAGUCUUAGAAAACACAGGCAACUUACAGGAUGUAAACUGAAAAUAAUAAUUCAUGUAAGUUUACCCAGGAUUAGGGUAUGCUGCUUCUGCAAAGUGUGAAAAUACAGCAUUAGUGCUUUACAAAUGUGUAUUGUUCCAUCCAGUACUUCAUCUUGGACUUCACCGGACAAAGCUCUUGCUGCUUCUCCUUCAGUUUCCUUCCCAACAGCUUGGUGACCAGUAUGAAGCCUCUGCAAAGUUUCCAUUGUGCUACAAACCUGAAAAUUCUCCAGCCUGAUUCGGAAUUCCUGUAUGUACCCACUAAAGGGUAUGAAGUUUUGUCGUCUUUUAGUAAGCUGUUGCCUUAAUUGAUAUGCAAGGCAUGUCCAGAUGUUGAACAUUAGGAACCUCAAGUUAAGAGAUCUGACACCAAGGUGACGUCUUUAGUAUGGUAUCUUGAAAGAUGUAGCAAAUCAUGUGGUACGUUGCUCAGAAUAAGUCUUCUGUCCAUGAUAGCAAUUCGUAAGAUGUAUGAGGGAAUCAGUUUCAUGAGAGGGCACAUUCACAACUAAAAUUUCCUGUAUGUUCAUUAAAGUUUGGAAGAUUGUAAUCAAAAUAGUAUAAGUAGAAGGAUGCACUGUGACAAAGAUGUUGAAAUGAGCAUCAUUGAUUUUUGCUUCUCAAACUCCUGGUAGCAGGUUUGGCAGCACUGUUUGGGCAAUAGCAAAUACAUUUCCAGAAUGUGUAAAUACUAAACCAGGUGAGCGUGAUGUUCAGCUAAA